CAAAAGCUUGGUCCCGACUUUACUAUCAGCUACAACCUAAGUUAUACAUGCAAGUAUCCGCAUCCCUGUGAGUAUGCCCUUAAUCCUCUACUCGAGGACGAGGAGCCGGCAUCAGGCACACAACAUCGUAGCCCAAGACGCCUUGCCACGGCCACACCCCCAAGGGAAUUCAGCAGUAAUAAACAUUAAGCCAUAAGUGAAAACUUGACUUAAUUAGGGUUGUAUAGGGUUGGUAAAACUCGUGCCAGCAACCGCGGUUAUACGAGAAACCCUAGUUGAUAUGCAACGGCGUAAAGAGUGGUUAGGGAAACACUAAAAUAAAGUCAAACAUUUUCCUGGCCGUUACAAGCACAUGAAAAUAUGAGGUCCAACCACGAAAGUGACUUUAAUACUUCUUGACCCCACGAAAGCUAAGAAACAAACUGGGAUUAGAUACCCCACUAUGCUUAGCCUUAAACCUAGAUAUUCUCAUCACGAAAAAUAUCCGCCAGGGUACUACAAGCGCUAGCUUAAAACCCAAAGGACCUGACGGUGUCUCAGACCCACCUAGAGGAGCCUGUUCUAGAACCGAUAUUCCUCGUUAAACCUCACCACUCCUUGUCCACACAGCCUAUAUACCGCCGUCGCAAGCUUACCCUAUGAAGGACUAACAGUAAGCAAGAUGGAUAUUUUCCAAAACGUCAGGUCGAGGUGUAGCUUACGGAGUGGAAAGAAAUGGGCUACAUUUUCUAAGUUAGAAUAAACGAACAGAAUUAUGAAACUAAUUCUUGAAGGUGGAUUUAGUAGUAAAAAUCAAAUAGAGAGUCAUUUUGAACCAGGCUCUGAGACGCGCACACACCGCCCGUCGCCCUCCCCUACCUACCCUAAAAUAAGUAAAUAACCAAAUAACUCACAUCACGGGGAGGUAAGUCGUAACAUGGUAAGUGUACCGGAAGGUGUACUUGGAACAU
rnacentral:ncRNA from 1 species